CAUACCUAUUCGAAGGGAUAGGGUCGGUUCGGCCGGAUUUCACACAGGUGUUGCAUGGCUGUCGUCAGCUCGUGUCGUGAGAUGUUGGGUUAAGUCCCGCAACGAGCGUAACCCUCAUCCUUAGUUACCAUCGGGUAAUGCUGGGGACUUUAAGGAAACUGCUAGUGAUAAACUGGAGGAAGGUGGGGAUGAUGUCAAGUCAUCAUGGCCUUUAUGGAGUGGGCUACACACGUGCUACAAUGGUGGCUACAAUGGGCUGCAAAGUCGCGAGGCUAAGCUAAUCUCUUAAAAGCCAUCUCAGUUCGGAUUGUACUCUGCAACUCGAGUGCAUGAAGUUGGAAUCGCUAGUAAUCGUGGAUCAGCAUGCCACGGUGAAUACGUUCUCGGGUCUUGUACACACUGCCCGUCACGCCAUGGGAAUUGGUUUCACUCGAAGCU
rnacentral:rRNA from 1 species